AUUUAAGAUGAUAGCUGUCAAAGUUUUCAAGAGGCAGAACGAUUUUCCUGACUUUCAUGUGUAUCAGGCUCUUGGGGAGUGGAGAGAAAGCUGUGAAUACAGCCAGCUCACACCGCACUACAAAACGAAUGCACAGGCUGGAGACCAACAGCACAGAG